rfam:Oryza glaberrima chromosome 4 Oglab04_unplaced038_7, whole genome shotgun sequence.
AUCCCAUGAUGAGGACAGGCGGCUACAUACUCCUGGAGUUGUUCCCAUGCUUCGGUGAUCGACUCAUCCCUCGUCUGCUAGAAUCCAAAAAUUCUCCCACGAAGGCC